GAACAUCUUCCGUAUUGAAUGAACACAUCAGGCUGCAGGACAGAAGAACUUUUGAGGACCACUUCACUUUGGGAAUACAACUAUAACCUGAACACAGUGGAAUUAUUCUCAGUCAGAACACGGUACAUCAUGACGAAGCUAUUGUUUUGAUUUCCAGUGCAACACUGCGUGACUUAAGAUGGGAAACGGGAGUUGGAGGUGAUUCCCUCAUUUCAGUGGGAGUUGCUUGGUGCAGUAUUAAAAUGUCAAAGUGAAAGUACCAGGCUGAAGAACUUCUAAACCACCACUGUUGACGUCCCGUUUACUCCUCAUUAGCGAAAGAGGCCAUGGACAGAUGGAGUCUCCUUCAGUUGAUUCAAGUACUUCUCAUCACAUCCUGUUUCUGUAAAGAUGCUGAACUUCACUGUCCUGACAUAAAUGCGACUGUUGGGCAGCCAUUAAAUCUGAACUGCAAAGUUACAUGUGAAAACUGCAAAGCUAUCGAAUAUAAAUGGAAGAAGGACAACAAAAUACUGAAACAUGAGAAUAGUACUGGUCAGCUUCAGUUUUAUUACCCAAUUCCAAAAUUUUCCAUGGAACACAAUGGAACCUACACAUUUUGGGUGCAGCUGAAUACUACGUCUCUUACAAAGACCUUCAGUGUCUUAUCAGCACUGUAUUGUCCUGACAUAAAUGCGACUGUUGAGCAGCCAUUAAAUCUAACCUGCACAGUUACGUGUAAAGACUGCAACUCUAUCGAAUAUAAAUGGAAGAAGGACAACACAACACUGAAACAUGAGAAUAGUACUGGUCAGCUUCAGUUUUAUUACCCAAUUCAGAAUCUGUCCAUGGAACAUAAUGGAACAUAUACAUUUUGGGUGCAGCUGAAGAGUGGUACUCUUACAACGAACUUCAGCGUGAUCUUAUCAGAAAACAAGACUGAAAAUAUUCCCCACCUUGACACUUACACAGAUGUUUAUUCUCAUAAUCAUAAAGUGGCUGUAAUUUUUAUGGCCAUUCUUUUUGCCACAGCUCUUGCUGCUUCCAUUGGUUAUAUAUAUAAAAAAAAAGAAAAGUAACUGCAUCUUACCAAACAGAGAGCAUGUUCAAAUUUCAGAUUCCAGAUCUUAAUCCCAAGGAGCAAAACACAUCGCCAUGGAUACUGUAACAAGGUGUCUUACUACUGUGAAUCUGUGAGUCAAGCUGAACAGUAAAAGAGGAGGUGAAAACUGAAACAAUUGGGUCAGUUUUAUAUAUAAAAUAUAGGACAAAUAAACACUGAUCAGGUUUCUGUGCUUGUUUUGUAGAAAGCUUUGAAUAUAUAUACAGUAAAUAUGUACACAUAUGUAAUGUACUUCUUCUGCUUUUUAUAUCUAAUUUCCAUGAAAUAUCAUUGUAUUACUGCUCGUUUGUGAUUGAUGAAUAAGAGAUUGUUGGACAAGAGUUCAUUUUUACCAAGUUACUUUCAAACUAUACAAAGAUUCAAAAUGUUUUUUUUUGUCUUGUCAGUCCUGAGUCAUGUCAUUUUUUUCUACUCUAACACUGAGUUGUAAGUCAAGCUAUUUACCCUGUUAACAUGCAUUCUCAAAAAUAAAAGUACCAAACUGUCACUAGGGCUGUACCCCU